UUCCCACACUCUGUGUCUAAAUUGUAUUCAGUUACAACAAGCCAGUUUAAACCAGAGCAUCAGACAGCUCUUCUCAUGAUCCUAUGUCUUGUCAAGUGACUUUGACUAAAAUGUAAUCACAGAGAAAACAGAUGGGCACUCGAAUGUGACUGAAGGUCUCACUGCAGAAUGUCACGUACUCACUGAUGGAAAACCUGAACAUUUGAAUGCAACGUUUAUCAGGCACGUCGAGGGCUUUCUCACGGUGCGACCUGACGCAAGAAUUAACAAGACUUUAACAUCAUGGGAACCUCCUGCGAUAACAGUACGGCAUUCAUGGACCACCGAGGACCUCCGUGGCGCUAACGGCAG